rnacentral:rRNA from 1 species
CCUACGGGAGGCAACAGUAGGGAAUAUUGCUCAAUGGGGGAAACCCUGAAGCAGCAACGCCGCGUGGAGGAUGAAGGUUUUCGGAUUGUAAACUCCUUUUGUUAGAGAAGAUAAUGACGGUAUCUAACGAAUAAGCACCGGCUAACUCCGUGCCAGCAGCCGCGGUAAUACGGAGGGUGCAAGCGUUACUCGGAAUCACUGGGCGUAAAGAGCGCGUAGGCGGGAUAGCAAGUCAGAUGUGAAAUCCUAGGGCUUAACCAUAGAACUGCAUUUGAAACUGUUAUUCUAGAGUAUGGGAGAGGUAGGUGGAAUUCUUGGUGUAGGGGUAAAAUCCGUAGAGAUCAAGAGGAAUACUCAUUGCGAAGGCGACCUGCUAGAACAUAACUGACGCUGAUGCGCGAAAGCGUGGGGAGCAAACAGGAUUAGAUACCCCUGUAGUC